UUAUUAUAUUUUGAGACAAGAGUAUCUUUCUAUGAAACCUCAACUCAACUCAACUGGACAAUACCCAAUGAAACCUAAAAAUGCUUAAUUUCACCCUAAACCUACCAUUUCUCAAGCAUUCAUUACCAUUGCUUUCACUUUCAUACUCUCCGAUCACGAUUUACAAAAGAUCGAUCAAUUCAACGCUUUCAAUGCUCUAAGAUUCUACAUGGUUUGUAGCAAAAAAGAUAUUGGCUCAUUGAAUAUUUUGUACAUGACGUGCCUGCCUAUUCAAUAUUGAUAUAUUUUAUAUGGAUUGUUUCGUUGAAUCUUUGGGAUAUGUGGUUCAAAUAUUUGAGGAAAUGCCUCCCAUUUGAAGUUGAAGACCUAGCAUUUCACCAUUGCAAGCAAGUGUUAAUACUAGGAGAGGGAAACAUUGAAGAAGCUGUGGAUGAUUAGACUCGAGCAUGCAUUACUGUCACUUUCAUAGAGAGUUUGGUUCAAUUUGAAAUCACAAGUGAUGAACUGGACCAUUUCAAUGAUAAAUGGUUUCAGAAGAACCAUGCUAAGGUAUAUUCAAUGCGCUUCAUGUGUUUUAUAUUAGGUUAAAAGUUAAACCUCUCUGUGAUUUACACAUUUCUUCUGUGAUGUUAUGAGGCAGUGAUGUUGUUUUCGGCUUUUAGAUCGGACAAGAGGUUAAAGAGUCUUAGUAUUGGGCAUUGGCUAGGUGUUUCAGUAACUGUUUGAAAAUACCAUUUUUAUGGUUUAUUCAGAUACUGAUAAUGCAGCCAUGUUUAAGCUUUUAUCUUUUGCCUAUUGUUUGAGAAAAAGGCGAAUCUGAGCCUUCCUUUGAAACCCAGUAAUUGGGGUUUUAACUCAUUAGUCUUUAGUUUAAGUAUGAGGCUCCACUUUCAGAGAGAUAAGGUUGUUUUGAGAGUUGUUGCCUCUCUGUGUUGUCGUGGUAGCCGAUGAUACGUCUCAGUGAAAUUUGUAAACAGCUCUCAACACAUACAUACUAUUACUCCCUCUGUUCCUCAAUAUUAACCCUUUCUUUUUCUGCUUCUUCUUAGAUAGCAAGGAAUUGGUCUGUUUCUUGUUUAUUUUCUUCUUCGUCUUUUUCUUCUUCUUAAAUAACAAGGCAGUGAUGAUGUUUUCAAUAAUUGAAUCAGACAUUGGGUGAAGAGAUGUUUCAUGGCGAGGUGAUUAUGUGUCUGUGAAAUUACACUCUUACUUUUCUCAGAUGCUGUUGUUGACGCAGCCAUUGGGAAACUCUUUGCACUUCUGUCUGAAAAAAGGCGAAUCUGAGCCUUCUUUUGUUCAACCCUAUUUCAAAUUGUGUUUGGGGAUCCCUAUGUGAUGGAAGCAUUAGAGUAGUAAGAAGCUUUUCUAACAAAACUAAUUUUUUAAUGCAAACCAUAAAAUUGUUUAUCCUUACGAGUGAUUAUUUGAUCCUCAGUCAUGAAAGCGGCCAAGAAAAUGUUACGAUUUACCACGCAAAAGACAACGGUUAUAUUACUGUAUGGACAUAACUUUUUCUAGCUGCUAUUAUGGUUGCAGCUGGGAAGAGAUCAUUGAAAUAACAAUGGCUUUCAACUUAGUGAAGCAUAUUGUUCUAUGCCUGUCCUACCCUUCUAUUUGCAAAGCUCUGUAUGUACACCAUUACUUAUUCCUAAUGCUGCACCCAUGAUAGUAUCUGUGAUUCACUAGACCCACAUCAUCAUUUUCUGUGCAACAUUUUUCUACACAGUACUUGUUAGUUGUAUUCAUUUGAAGUCUCUUUGGAAUCAUGUUUUCAUUUGAAGUGAUAAAGUUUAUUGAUUCAUUCAUGAAAUUUAUUUAGAUAUGCUUGUCCAUGGCUGAAGAGAAAUACUGAGAAAGGAAACUAUAACACAGCGAGCCUUGGUCAUCAAUCAAUUUGCAUUUAUUUAUAUUUAUCUGUUGAAAUAGAGAACUAGAGGGUUUGGAACUCUUCUAUCUCAAAUAAGUUAGUAGUUUAUUUCUCCCUUUUCAUUUUGUGGUGUUUUGUUUGUCCAAGUGCAUUUUUCCUUGAUAUAAAUGCAGAUGGACUGGAGAUUUUUUAUGUUGAAAUGGUUUAAGGAGAAGCAUGCCACACCUUUUCUAAUUACUUUUAAGGCCUCUAAAUUUGUUGGGCCGACCCUUAUUUGCUUGGUAGUGGAUACAAGGAAGCUAUGAUGUUGUUUUCAGCUUUUAGAUCAGACAACAGGUUGAAGAGCUAGUACGGGCAAGGUGUUGCAGAUUCUGUUAUGAAUUACCACUGUGGUUCAUUCUACAGAUACUGAUAACGCAGCCAGGGUGAGACUCUUCUUAUGCCUCUUGUUUGAGAAAAAGGUGAAUCUGAGCCUUCCUUUGAAACUCUGCAAUUAUGGUAUACUAUCAUCAGUCGGUAGUUUAAGUAUGAGGUUUCAUCCUCAGAGAGAUAGGUGGCCUUGAGAGCUGUCGCCCCUCUGAGUAAUGUGCAGCCGAUGAUCCUUCUCAAUGAAAUUUGCCAACAGCUCUCCACGCAUAUAUACAUACACACAUACAUAUACUCCCAAUUAUGUUCUAUAUAUAUAUAUAUAUAUAUAUAUAUAUAUAUAUAUAUAUAUAUCUUUUUUUCUUCUUCUUUCCGUAAUUAACAGGGCAGCGAUGAUGAUUUCAGCAAUUGAAUCAGACAAUGUGUGAAAGAUUUGUUUCCUGGCAAGGUGACUCAGUGUCUGUGUUAAAUUACCCUUGUGGUCCUUUGCGCAGAUUCUGUGGAUGCAGCCUUUGCAAACCUCUUCUCAUGUGUCUGAGAAAAGGCGAUCUGAGCCUCCGUUUGUUCAACAUCAGAUUAUAUUUUUGGGAUCGUUUCCCCUCUUUUAGUCUUUCAUCUGUUUCCCACGGUUAAGUUUAAUGUUGAAAGCAUAGCACUAUGAAUAUAGCUUAUUAUACAGAAAGUAUUGUUUCAUUAUAAAAACUUAUUUAGAUAUGCUUGUCCAUGUUGGAAAGUGAAAGACUCUAAGAGCACACCAUUCCUUAUAAUGCACUAAUGAUAGUAUCUAUGUGUCACUUGACCCACAUCAUCAAUUUCCGCGCGACAGAUUUCUUCACACUACUUGGUUUCGUGUGAAGUAAUGUCUAAAAAGAAUUUCUAUGAUGAUAGUUAAAUGUACUUGACUAUUGUUUCAUUCUGGAAAUUUAUUUAGAUAUACUUGGACAUGGUGGAAAGGGAAUGACUGAGAAGGAAUCGUUGCUUAACUCCUGAGGAAAUUAUAAUACUUUCAGCCUUGGACAUGAAUCCAUUUUUUUAAUAUAUUUAGAGAGCUGGAGGUUUUGAUGAAUGGGAGGUUUUCAAUGUUAAAAUGGUUUCAGGUGAAGCGUGCUACUCCUGUUCUAGUUUUAAUAAGUAAUAACUUCUAAGCUAUGCAGAUAUGAUUCUCUGUGGUGGAAAGAUAAACCGAGUAGAAAAGGGCACUUCACUCGUGACAAAACUUCAACACUGCUAGUCUUGGAUAUCUAUUUGCUGCUAGGGUUUUAUAUUUUAUACUAAGCAGAUAGAAAAAUGGACACUUCAGAAAACCCUAUCGAAUCUACCUUGUGAGAUUAUGCAAUUAUUACCCAAAUUGAAACUGGCUUAUCAGCUGCAUUAAGUCAAAUGGUUUAGAAGGAGCCAUUGUCAGAUCCCCCAGAACUUGAUCCUUUUUGAGUCAUUCGUAUGUAGUGGCUGGACACAUUUUCACACAAAAGUCAGCAAAGCCUAAUAUUAAAAGAUCCACAAAAUGCUUCAUUUCACCCUAGGCCUAGCAUUCCCCAUUUGAAGCAAAUGCUACAAAUCUAGUUUGUUUAAAUUGCAAGAGGGGAAUAUUGAAGACAAAGUGGUGGAUGUUUGAACUUGGUCAUUACUGUCCCUUUCACAGUUGGACAGUUUUGUUUUUAAAGAUAUACAUAAAUAGAAACCUAGAGGAUCUGGUACUCUCUUAUCUCUUAAUGAUUAGUUCUUUAUAUCUUUUGAAACUUUUGAUUUUGUGGUGACUGUUUGGUUAAGUGCAUAUUUCAUUUAACAUUCUUCAUAUGGUAUUUUUUUUUUUGGUGAUUGCUUCGUUUGUUUUAUAUAUUAGCUUAUUGUCAUCAAAUUCUGUUUUAUUACUUGUUAAACCUCUCGGUGACUUGAACAUUUUAUGUGAUAUGAUUUAUUUAUGUUAGAAUGCAAGAUAUUUUGACAUAAUAUAUAUAAGACGCAAGGAAGCUGUGAUGCUGUUUUCAACUUUUAGAUCAGCCAAGAGAUUGAAGAGCCUCAGUACUGGCAAGGUGUUUCAGUAUCUGUUUGAAAAUAUCGUUGUUGUGGUUUAUUCUACAGAUAUUGAUAACGCAGCCAUGGUGAAGCUUUUCUGUUCAACUCUUGUUUGAGAAAAGGUGAAUCUGAGCUUUCCUCUAAAAACCUGCGGUUAGGGUUUAUACUCAUUACUUGUUUAAGUUGAGGCUCACAAGGUUGUCUUUAUAGCUGUUGCCCCUCCGAGUUUUCAAGCAAGCUGAUGAUACUUCUCAGUGGAAUUUUGCAUCAAUUAUUGCUUGAUCAUAACCUUGUCGCUUUUUCUGUUCUUUUUUUUUUUGGUACAAUGUUCUGUCUGUUCUGUUUCCAUCUUCUUCUUCUUCUUCUUGGAUAACUUGGCAGUGAUGAUAUUUUUAGCAAUUUAAUCAGACGUUAAGUGAAGAGUUGUUUCCUGGCGAGGCGAACCCGUCUGUGUGAAAUUACCUUUGUGGUUCUUUGCACAGUUGCUGUUAACGCAGCCUUUGCAAUCCUCUUCUGUCUGAAAAAAGGCGAAUCUGAGCCUCCUCUGUUCAACCCUAACAACUUAAAUUGUUUUGAGGACCUGGUUUCCUCUUUCCCUUGUGUGGCUUUUUAUUUUAUGAGCGGACAUAAUAACUUUCGUGAGUUGCUAUUAGAGAUCAUUGAAUAUAAAAAUGACGUAAGUAGCUUUGUUUUUCAGACUAGUAAAACAAACAAAUUAUACUAGACUUGUAGAAUCCUGUUAUGUGUUUGCAAAGCUCCGUAUGGAACAAUUCCUAUUGUUGUACACAUGAUAGUAUCGAAGUUGCACUUGCACUAGACCCAUAUUACCAUUUUUUUGUGAUAUUUCUACACCAUAUUUGGUUCUAUACGAAGUUGUCCAAAAUAAUUUGUAUGUUUUUUAGUUUAUUGUACACAAACAGUUGUAUCAAUCUUGAAAUCUGUGUAGAUAUGCUUGCACAUGACAGAUUCUGAAAAGGAAAGAUCAUUUGAGUUAUGAGAAAAUAAAGACAUUGCUGUAUUAUAUCUA